UGGACUCAGGCACUGUACUUGGUAGA
rnacentral:piRNA from 1 species